GCCUAAUACAUGCAAGUCGAACGCGUUGGCCCAAUUGCAUUGAUGGUGCUUGCACCUGAUUGAUUUUGGUCGCCAACGAGUGGCGGACGGGUGAGUAACACGUAGGUAACCUGCCCAGAAGCGGGGGACAACAUUUGGAAACAGAUGCUAAUACCGCAUAACAACGUUGUUCGCAUGAACAACGCUUAAAAGAUGGCUUCUCGCUAUCACUUCUGGAUGGACCUGCGGUGCAUUAGCUUGUUGGUGGGGUAAUGGCCUACCAAGGCGAUGAUGCAUAGCCGAGUUGAGAGACUGAUCGGCCACAAUGGGACUGAGACACGGCCCAUACUCCUACGGGAGGCAGCAGUAGGGAAUCUUCCACAAUGGGCGCAAGCCUGAUGGAGCAACACCGCGUGAGUGAAGAAGGGUUUCGGCUCGUAAAGCUCUGUUGUUAAAGAAGAACACGUAUGAGAGUAACUGUUCAUACGUUGACGGUAUUUAACCAGAAAGUCACGGCUAACUACGUGCCAGCAGCCGCGGUAAUACGUAGGUGGCAAGCGUUAUCCGGAUUUAUUGGGCGUAAAGAGAGUGCAGGCGGUUUCUAAGUCUGAUGUGAAAGCCUUCGGCUUAACCGGAGAGUGCAUCGGAAACUGGAUAACUGGAGUGCAGAAGAGGUAGUGGAACUCCAUGUGUAGCGGUGGAAUGCG
rnacentral:rRNA from 2 species